GUGGGUAUAGCUCAGUUGGUUAGAGCGCUAGAUUGUGGUUCUAGAGGUCGUGGGUUCGAGACCCAUUACUCACC
rnacentral:tRNA from 1 species